CUUGAUCGGUCUUACCAAGUAAAUUUUAACUCAUUUUAAUCUCCAUUUUACUAGAAACAUGUGACAGCUAUAAAGUGCAACCUGUUGUUCAUAUUGAGUUAGAUUGCUGUGCUAGAUUUAAGAAUAAGACCACACCUAAAAAUUCCAAUUUCAAGAAUCUUUAGUAAAGACAAAGAUUUAAGUAUUUAAUUUUUGUCUGUUCAAGUAAGACAAAUUUCUGUGAACAUAAACACUUCAUGAAAAGGUGUUCCAUUCUGAUUUAUUACGUACGUAAAGUUUUGAAAAGCAUGUGACCUGAGGCUGAGCUCUGAUUGGCUUGUUUCGAAUUUUCCUCAGGCCGCCGCACUCUGCGCUCCGGACCCGCCCACUUUUGUUGUUAGCGAAUCAAUAUUAUUGUUAUAUAUUUUGGCCUCAUGUGAUUGGACCAUUCUCAACGAGUCUCAUUACCGCGCAGCAGAUGGUCAGUUAACGGACAGGUACUGAUUAAUAUGGAAGCAAGCGAAAUAUCUCGAGAUGAAAGAGAAUUCGGUUCUAUCUUUACAAAAAUAAACUUUCACAAGGAGUUCGGAUGAAGAAAAGAAAAGAAUCAAGGAGCUUGGACCACAUCGACCCAAUCUGCAAACUCAGCAGCAGUCAGUUUUUUAAUGAUUACCUUCAUUACAUUACUGAUAAUAAACCCACAUUGAACUCAGAUUCACUGAUUUACAGUACAGUAAUUGCAUGCUUUUGGGUAUUGGAUAUAAUUAUCCCAACUUCUCAUCAGUGCAUUGAUUCAGUGACGGGAUGACGUUUUGUACUGCGCAUGUGCGAGCAGUGCGCUAACGUGCUAGUUAUGAAAAGGCAUUUCCUCCUGCCAGAUUCUCACCAUGGAGGAGCUCGAUGAUGCUGCAGUUUCCACUUUAAAAGCUGCUAACAUUGGGGAAGACAUUUUACCGUCUCUUUCAAGAGAGGAUAUUUGAUAUCUCUUUCCUGGUCCUGAGCCAUUUGGCUUUUGACUCAUAAGGAAGAACAGUUGAACAUGCCAUUGCUGUUUUUACCGCCCUGCCACUGCUCUUCCCAUCCGGCUCUGCAGCACCCAAGAAAAGGGGCCCAAUCAGUGAGGCUCUUUUUCAUGUUCUUACGGUGAGUUUUGCUUUUGUAGUGUUAUCUAAUUAGCAGGUGUUUAAGAGGCCUACACUUUCAAUUAAAUAAUGGGUUAAAAACAAGAUUUGGCUACUCAAAUUGCUCACCCAGUGUUAAAAAUAACCUGAUAAAAUUACCUACAUGCUCAGCCUUUGGCAAAAAAAAAAAAACCCAAACAACUCCUUUUGUAGAUUGUAAAUGCUGUUACAUGUAAUGUGAAUAUCUGAGUAAAACUCAUCUGUUAAAGGACAUUUGGAGCAGUGUGGUUGUCUGCGAUGUCUUCAUAUUUACCAAGGUGGAGCUACGACUCAAACUGGAGACAGAUGUCUCACUAAUCAUUCCCACUGCACAAUAUAUUUUGCUUUUUAUGCUGUUUGUAGUAUAAAAUCAUAUUAUUGGUCUUCUAGCCCUCAGAGAUACACUAUAUUGCCAAAAGUAUUCGCUCACCCAUCCAAAUAAUCAGAAUCAGGUGUUCCAAUCACUUCCAUGGCCACAGGUGUAUAAAAUCAAGCACCUAGGCAUGCAGACUGUUUUUACAAACAUUUGUGAAAGAAUGGGUCGCUCUCAGGAGCUCAGUGAAUUCCAGCGUGGAACUGUGAUAGGAUGCCACCUGUGCAACAAAUCCAGUCGUGAAAUUUCCUCGCUCCUAAAUAUUCCACAGUCAACUGUCAGCUGUAUUAUAAGAACGUGGAAGUGUUUGGGAACGACAGCAACUCAGCCACGAAGUGGUAGGCCACGUAAACUGACGGAGCGGGGUCAGCGGAUGCUGAGGUGCAUAGUGCGAAGAGGUCGCCAACUUUCUGCAGAGUCAAUCGCUACAGACCUCCAAACUUCAUGUGGCCUUCAGAUUAGCUCAAGAACAGUGCGCAGAGAGCUUCAUGGAAUGGGUUUCCAUGGCCGAGCAGCUGCAUCCAAGCCAUACAUCACCAAGUGCAAUGCAAAGCGUCGGAUGCAGUGGUGUAAAGCACGCCGCCACUGGACUCUAGAGCAGUGGAGACGCGUUCUCUGGAGUGACGAAUCGCGCUUCUCCAUCUGGCAAUCUGAUGGACGAGUCUGGGUUUGGCGGUUGC